UUAACUCAAAUUUGUAUGCAGUUGGAACAGCGCCCCUAGCGGCAAACGUAGGCAAACGUUCCAACUCCAUACAAAUUUGAGUUA
rnacentral:pre_miRNA from 1 species